AGUGAUAUGCAGUGUUUGAGCCUCAGACACUUCAGAUAAGCUCUGACGACCAGGUCUGCUGGGAGCAAGAAUCCACCAGGAGUGGACGAACCUGAGGACCUGGACGACCUUUUUGGCACCUGAUUACUGUGAGGUCAGAG